rnacentral:lncRNA from 1 species
UCGGGCUUCGGGCUUCGUCGGGCCGGGCUAAAAAGCCCGGAUAAAAAACGGGCUACCAAAAUUAGUGCCCGAGCCCGGCCCGGAACGGGUAGUCGGGUUUUCGGGCGGCCCGGUUUUUUUUAUUAUUAUUUUUUUUACUUUUAGUGUUCAAACUCAACUAUAUAAAUAGCAUUAAUAAUUCUCGCGCGUCAUAUUUUUUACUCAUCCGCUAUAAAUAUUAUAUAAUUCGCGCGCGCCGUAUUUUUACUCAUCCCCUAUCUACGAGUUUCUCGCGCGCCCUAUUUUUACUCAUCCACUACCUACGAGUUUCUCGCGCCCUAUUUUUACGCAUCCGCUACUUACGAGUUUCUCGCGCGUCAUAUUUUUACUCAUCCGCUACCUAGGACUUUCGCGCGCCCUAUAUUUACUCAUCCGCUACUACGAGUUUCUCGCGCGCCCUAUUUUUAUUCAUCCACUAUGUACGAGUUUCUCGCGCGCCCUAUUUUUACUCAUCCACUACCUACGAGUUUCUCGCACCCUAUUUUU